rnacentral:tRNA from 1 species
AGUGAGGUGGCCGAGUGGCUUAAGGCACUACCUUGGAAAGGUAGCGACGGGAAACUGUCCACGAGUUCGAAUCUCGUCCUCACUGCCA